UUUUGUCUUACAUUUUUUUUUUUAACACCCCAUUACGUUCUUGGUAAAUGUAAGAAGUCAUGAUUUUCAGUGUUACAAAAGGUUCUCAACUUCACGAGCAUUUGGUUUAUUGCGAUGGCGCUGAAUCAUUCAAUCGUUGGAGUGAUGUCCGUCGGCUGCAGCCUUCGAGAUUAUCGCCGUCGGCACCACCAUCUCUUUUUCGCGUUUUGUUCGUCGACGGGGGUGCACAUCAAGUUUCUGCUUUUAUCCCGUCGGCGGUCCUCGUUUAAGACCACGUGUCCCUGUCCAGUGUGAAUAUUUGGCCCUUUGAUUGGUCAGUUGCCUACCGUUGGUGUUUGCAAAUAACGUGGUUUCAUUGCCGUCUUCGUCCUUAGUUGAUGCUGCAACAGAAUUUCUGAGUUCAUCAUGGACAAGUGAUGUCGUAUGAGCAGGGUCAAUUUAUACUUUUAUAAUAUUAAAUUUCAUUAAUUAUGGACCUCGGCUCUACUCAUUGCGACACUUGUCAUAUGAGUAUUGGUCAACCAUUUACGUUAAUUUAAAGGCCGAUGGACCAGUAUUUUUAUUAUAAAUGGUUACAUUUGGUUAAGCUGCUGUAGGGCCAAUAAGUUAUUCAUAUUGUACAUCUGUAGCUGUACUGAUAAAUGGCUACAUGACCAGCAUAUUGUUGUACUCAUUUUUAGCUGUGCUAUUAUAGGACCAACAUAUAUUAUAUUUUUUAUUAUAACUUAUAUUAUCAACUUC